AAGACUAUACUUUCAGGGAUCAUUUCUAUAGUCUGUGACUGUUGCCCUAAAUAUACUCUAUGCUCAACCCAACAGGCAGGGU
rnacentral:snoRNA from 1 species